rnacentral:tRNA from 1 species
GGGAAUAUAGCUCAGAGGCAUAGCACCUGCCUGGCAAGCAUGAGGUUAUGAGUUUGAUUCUCUGUACCA